UAUUAGAGUUGGCUGAGCAUGAAAACCAUAAUACAUUAUGCCAAGGAAUCUGUUAUCACUGUGAUGUAACACAGAGAAAUGGUCAGAAUAACCAGAAGAAUGGCCAGAAAGAGGUGUGGCCAAGGAUGUAGCCAGAGGACUCUAGAUGAAUGAAGGUAAUCUUGAGGGGAAGGGAGCUCAAAGAGUCUGGAGGCGAAUUUUAAGCCUUUUCAGACUCUACUGCCUUAUUCAUCCUAACUGUUUCAGGAUAUUCCCCUUCCCACAGUGGAGAAGUCUCUAUUAUGUAAUCUUAAAUACAGAUCUAAGCCCAGGAGAUAAAGUGUAUAACAAGAGGAAAGGAUGAAACAGAGAACCAUAUCAUUAAAAACAAAGAGGAGCUAAUCAUAUGACAAAAAGAUGGAAUGGCAGGUAGAUAACUAGAGUGCUGUACAAAGGCUCUCAAUGUAAUGAGAAAGUGUGGGAGUAUUCUAGCUCAUUGGGUAUAUUUUAAUGGACUUUGGGAAGACCUACAUGAAAGUCAUGUAUACUUAGAAGUAUGGAUGGGUUGUGACAUUAAUUUUUGGAGAUAAUAUAUUAUUAUAGAUCUAUUUGAGUAAACAGGCAAAAUUCGCCUCAGCCAUUUCCAAAAAUUAUUCUAACUUUAUUUUGUUCAGGCUAUCAGAAGUUUUUUUUUUUACUCUUCUAUAUGAUGCCCUUUCCAAUAUUAAUUUCAAACUUCUUUAAUCAGCCCCCAUAGGGAAUGUUUUCUAUUCCUUUCUCUAGUCAUAAGAUACAAGACCCCAAACUGAAAUCAGAGCCUGGGAAUCAUGCUAGAUUUAUGACUAAAAUAUAUGGCAAUGCAGAUAAUUAAUCAACUUUCUCCUAGAACAUCAUAUAAUAAAUCAAUAAGUAAUAAUUAAAUGCUUAUGAGA
rnacentral:lncRNA from 1 species